UGCUAUCGGAUUGAUACUAAGCCAUGCGAGUCAUUGUAGCAAUACAAGGCAGACGGCUCAGUAACGCGCAGUCAACCUACCCUAUGGACGGGAAUAACCUCGGGAAACUGAGAAUAAUGCCCGAUAGAACAUUAUGCCUGGAAUGGUUUAUGUUCCAAAUGAUUUAUCGCCGUAGGAUGGGACUGCGGCCUAUCAGUUUGUUGGUGAGGUAAUGGCCCACCAAGACUAUUACAGGUACGGGCUCUGAGAGGAGUAGCCCGGAGAUGGGUACUGAGACACGGACCCAGGCCCUAUGGGGCGCAGCAGGCGAGAAAACCUUGCAAUGUGCGAAAGCACCGACAAGGUUAAUCCGAGUGGUUUCUGCUAAAGGAACCUUUUGUCGGUCCUAAAAACACCGAUGAAUAAGGGGUGGGCAAGUUCUGGUGUCAGCCGCCGCGGUAAAACCAGCACCUCAAGUUGUCAGGAUGAUUAUUGGGCCUAAAGCAUCCGUAGCCCGGCUCUGUUAGUUUUCGGUUAAAUCUGUACGCUCAACGUACAGGCUGCCGGGAAUACUGCAGAGCUAGGGAGUGGGAGAGGUAGACGGUACUCGGUAGGAAGGGGUAAAA
rnacentral:rRNA from 1 species